rnacentral:tRNA from 1 species
ACCUGGCUGGCUCAGUUGGUAGAGCAUGUGACUCUUGAUCUUGAGGGUCAUGAGUUCAAGCCCCAAGUUGGGUG